UACGAAGGGGGCUAGCGUUGCUCGGAAUCACUGGGCGUAAAGGGUGCGUAGGCGGGUCUUUAAGUCAGGGGUGAAAUCCUGGAGCUCAACUCCAGAACUGCCUUUGAUACUGAGGAUCUUGAGUUCGGGAGAGGUGAGUGGAACUGGGAGUGUAGAGGUGAAAUUCGUAGAUAUUCGCAAGAACACCAGUGGCGAAGGCGGCUCACUGGCCCGAUACUGACGCUGAGGCACGAAAGCGUGGGGAGCAAACAGG
rnacentral:rRNA from 1 species